UGAUGAUGUCUCCUCUACAACUCGAGAUCGUGCUCUUGUCACUUUUCCAUGGACAUGGCCACCGCUUUCUAACUGGCUUCUCUGACCCUCCUUUGUCCCCUUUAGAUCCUUUCUGCCAGCAUGGUGAUCUCCCUGAAAUGCAAUUUUGUCCAUGUUACAUAUCACUUUGCUAAGGGGCUGGCACAUAGUGGACUACCCAGCCAUGCCACUGUUCCGUUCCUCCUUCUUCUUUCUCCUCCUUCCUAUUCCUCCUCCACUUCCUCUCCGAGGUGGGUGGAUCACCUGAGGUCAGGAGUUCGAGACCAGCCUGGCCAACACGGUGAAACCCUGUCUCUACUAAAAAUACAAACAUUAGCCGGGCAUGGUGGCAUGUGCCUGUAAUCCCAGCUAUUAGGGGGGCUGAGGUAGGAGGAUUGCUUGAACCUGGGAGGCGGAGGGUGCAGUGAGCUGAGAUUGUGCCACUGCACUCCAGCCUGGGCAACAGAGUGACACUCCAUCUCCAAAAAAAAAAAAAAAAAAAAAGUAAACAUGAAGACUCCAAAACAAGGAUCUGUUAGUGUUGAGAGGAGCUGAAGGUGGCAAGUAUGCUGUCUUUCUCCAAGUAGCUGGCUAGGGAAUGGGGCGAGCAGGGAUUUGCUUGGAGGGGAGGGGGGAGCCAGCAGACAGAUUUAGGAUUAAGAAGUCUGCU
rnacentral:lncRNA from 1 species